UAAACAGUUUUGUUAGCUCAUAGUUCAAUAGAAUGUAGAAGUCAGCCGUCAGCGUUUGCUACCGGUGAUCGGUGACAAAAUAUAUUACUGGAAGUACGAAAAAAUAUUUAGAUACACGUAUAUCUUUACUCUUUUAAUUAAUUCAGCCGCUGAGAACCCAAACAUUAAGGAUAGUUAAUCUGUAUGCAAUUUGAAUUUGCGAUUCAACUAUUAGAAAGCUGUAUUUUUGUUGUGAGGUCUCAGAAUACAGAUCAAAAUGCCACAUAAAGAAAUGAGUGUGAAGACACAACUGGUGAGGAAUGACGAAGGAACAACAAAAAUGUUGCUCUUUCUGCAAAACGGCGAGGAGAGAUUAAUCACAUUCAUACUGCCCAAGGAGAGUUGCACGCUUCAGGAUGUUCUUGAACAGUGCAACGUGCCGUUCACGGACAAAACUAACAUACAGAUUAUGCAGAACUGCAGCGGCGUUAUAGAAUUCUUCGUGUCGGUCGGUCGCACGAAGAAAAUCGAAGAUCUAAUAAAGAAACACCACAUGCACAAUUGAGAGAUUUUACUGGUAAUAUGUUUUUUUUUUAUAUUAAUAAUUGACGGACUAGGAGAUGGCCCACUUGGAUGUAAGGAGAAAACCAUUGCCUGUAAACAGAGCAAGGCAUGCUAGAACAUGUGCUACAAGGUGCUGAUAAUGAUUUAACCGGUUUUCGCGAGCAGUACCAGAGAUUAUAUGUUUAUACAUAGACAACCUCACAAAUUCACAAAUUUUACCUCUAAACAAAUGAAGUUGUUUACUUAGAUAUGACUGGAUAAAAUCUAAUUGUUAUUACAUUUCUGCAGGACAUGCUACACUGUGUCCACAAAUUUAAGGCAUAGGUGUUAAUCCUCAUGUGCCAGUUAAGUAUAAAUUUACUACUAGUUAUUAAUAAUUAUGAUAAACAUCCUGCAGUGUAGAUAAAAACACUAUAGUGAAAGCUCAGAAGGGUAAUUUGGAAUAAUACGCUGAUAAAAUUUCAUUAAAUCAUUUUAUUAUUUAUCUCCUAUUUAUCACAUUAAUCACUUUAAUUAUUCACAGUAAUAUAUUUUUUGUCCACGUCCGAACGUGACCACAGCCGACAGUAGACUGCCGUCCGCCUCAAUCAUUCAAUGCCAACAAGUCUCAUCAGUAUGUACCUAUACACAAAUCGGUAUCACUACCUGUCAAUGUACGUCAUGAAACGUAUGCAACAAGGGUAUAUUGACAUGGUUACAUUUAUUAUUUCAUGAGGUACAUUGACAGACACUAAUCAUAUUUGAAAUUGCUAACAAUAGUAAAAUUAUACAAAUAAUUUUACAGAAUAGAGAAAAUACAAAUUGCAAUGUUGCACACUGAAAUCCAAUACGGUCGAACCACAAUCUUAAUUAGUAUUUAAAGAAUCAAUAUUAAAACCACAUUCAAGAAAAUAAAACAAACAUCAUUCAAAAUUUUGAGGAAAUACAUUAUUAUUACCCCUUUCUUAUUUGA